rnacentral:rRNA from 1 species
GACGUAGGGCGCGAGCGUUUGUCCGGAAUUAUUGGGCGUAAAGGGCUCGUAGGCGGUCUGUCGCGUCGGUAGUGAAAACUCAGGGCUUAACCCUGAGCCUGCUUCCGAUACGGGCAGACUAGAGGUAUGCAGGGGGAGAACGGAAUUCCUGGUGUAGCGGUGAAAUGCGCAGAUAUCAGGAGGAACACCGGUGGCGAAGGCGGGUCUCUGGGACGGUACUGACGCUGAGACGCGAAAGCGUGGGGAGCGAACAGG